GACGUAGGGCGCGAGCGUUGUCCGGAUUUAUUGGGCGUAAAGAGCUCGUAGGCGGUUUGUCGCGUCUGCUGUGAAAGACCGGGGCUCAACUCCGGUUCUGCAGUGGGUACGGGCAGACUAGAGUGCAGUAGGGGAGACUGGAAUUCCUGGUGUAGCGGUGAAAUGCGCAGAUAUCAGGAGGAACACCGAUGGCGAAGGCAGGUCUCCUGGGCUGUAACUGACGCUGAGGAGCGAAAGCAUGGGGAGCGAACAGG
rnacentral:rRNA from 1 species